rnacentral:rRNA from 1 species
UCCCGGUUGAUCCUGCCGGACCCGACUGCUAUCGGAUUGAGAUUUGGCCAUGCGAGUCGAACGUCCCCCUGUUGCGGGGGGCGUGGCGUACGGCUCAGUAACACGUAGUCAACCUGCCCUGGAGACAAGGACAACCCCGGGAAACUGGGAUUAAUCCUUGAUAGGUCAUCUCAUCUGGAAGGAGAGAUGGCUUAAAGGGGUACGCGGGCUUCUUCCGCGAAUCUGCUCCAGGAUGGGACUGCGUCCGAUCAGGCUGUUGGCGGGGUAAUGGCCCACCAAACCUGUAACCGGUACGGGCCUUGAGAGAGGUGGCCCGGAGAUGGACACUGAGAGAAGGGUCCAGGUCCUACGGGGCGCAGCAGGCGCGAAACCUUCGCAAUGCGCGAAAGCGUGACGAGGUUAAUCCGAGUGACUCCCGCUGAGGGGGUCUUUUGUCAGCUGUAAAUAGGCAGGCGAAUAAGGGGAGGGCAAGCCUGGUGUCAGCCGCCGCGGUAAUACCAGCUCCUCGAGUGGUCGGGGCGAUUAUUGGGCCUAAAGCAUCCGUAGCCGGUUCCGUAGGUCCUCUGUUAAAUCCAACCGCUUAACGGUUGACCUGCAGAGGAUACCGCGGGACUAGGAGGCGGGAGAGGCGGACGGUACUCCGCGUGUAGGGGUAAAAUCCUUUGAUCCGCGGAAGACCACCAGUGGCGAAGGCGGUCCGCCAGAACGCGCUCGACGGUGAGGGAUGAAAGCUGGGGGAGCGAACCGGAUUAGAUACCCGGGUAGUCCCAGCCGUAAACGAUGCUAGCUAGAUGAUUCAUUCGCAAGUCGCGAAUGAAGUGUCGCAGGGAAGCCGUUAAGCUAGCCGCCUGGGGAGUACGGUCGCAAGACUGAAACUUAAAGGGAUUGGCGGGGGAGCA